UACGAAGGGGGCGAGCGUUGUUCGGAAUUACUGGGCGUAAAGGGCGCGUAGGCGGCCCCUUUUGUCGCGUGUGAAAGUCCCGGGCUCAACCUGGGGAUGGCGCUUAAUACUGCGGUACUAGAGUACUGUAGAGGGAAGUGGAAUUUCCGGUGUAGCGGUGAAAUGCGUAGAUAUCGGAAGGAACACCAGUGGCGAAGGCGACUUCCUGGACAGAUACUGACACUGAGGCACGAAAAGCAUGGGGGAGCAAACAGG
rnacentral:rRNA from 1 species